AUGAUUUUUGCUUGGUUAGCUAAUGUUGCAUUCAGUAGAUUAUUGCUAAACAAAGAAAGUGUUCUUAAAUUCAUGGUGAACUUGAGCUUCAAUUUAUUGAAAAUGGAGUAUGCAUUUUCUGCAAUUCAUCUUUAGCUUUAAUUGCAUUACUAAUUAAAGUUGAUGUUGUCUUGCUUGAUCAAAAUUUAAAAGUUUGGCCAAUUUUGUUAAUAAGCUUCAGAAUUAUAUAAACAUAUCAUUAUCUUCAUUCAGGGAAACAAACUGUGAAAAGGAAAUUUAGAAAAACAAACAAUUUUGUGAUUUGUCUUUGUAGUAGCUUCAGUACUGAGAAGAGAAGCCUUAUCUUUUGCCUCUUGUCUGUUUUCCAUGAGGUUUAAACCAACUGAAUUUUCAAAGAUGUGUGAUGGGCUGGGUUUGUAUAAGGAUUUUUCUUCGUUGAGUCUCUAUUAUAGAUGCAAGCAUAUAUAGAAGAGAUGACAGGUUUGCUGCAAGAUUUUCAGAAUUUAGCAUGGAAAUCUGGGGUUAAACAAACGAAAUCUGUGAUUCAAGUAGU
rnacentral:misc_RNA from 1 species